GUCGACUCUGGCUACGCUGCACUGGCUACUUGGCAACGUCGCCAGUCGGUCGCCAGGUGAGUUACCCGUCAUACAUCUCAAUAGAACUAGUUGGUGACGUUGCUGGCCACGUCGCAAUGGCGUCCCGGUGAGGUAUGCCGUAGGGGCAACGCUAAAA